rnacentral:rRNA from 1 species
AUGGAGACUACAAGAUCAUGUGGUCCCUUGGAUUUUGAACUCAGUUGCAUCGACGGCAGUGUUCCAGUUCUCAGGACCUCUGGAUUAAGUGGCUUUGCAAUCAUAGACAUCUCUUACGAGAAACGCAGUAUGCAUGUCGUUGAUGUACAGAAAGACAAAGACUUCAACGUCUCCAGCGGCUGCCAUUUCCCGUUAUGGAACACCUCCGCCAAACUGGCACCCCUGUUUCAGGUCAACCCGGCCACCCUGAACCUCAUCUUCUAUAACUGCACCAAGAUGAUGGCACCUCAGGACAGGGCGCUGGCCGAGGUAAGAUGCGUGAACACGAGUAACGCAUUUGUUCGCGCGGGAGUGCGUUACGACGCAAUCGGGGACUACGCCGGCUAUGCUUUGGAGGGCUGCGAUGCGAGGUACUGGGCACAUCGGGAGGAGGGGCGAAUGCGAGCGACUACAAGCAACUCAUCAGCGAUGGCUUCCUCCUGA